rnacentral:tRNA from 1 species
GUCAGGAUGGCUGAGUGGUCUAAGGCGCCAGGCUCAAGGUUCAAGAUUCUCUCUGUAAAUAGGUCUUCUGGUCUCUGAAUGGAGGCAUGAGUUCAAAUCCCCCUUCUGACA